GUCCCCAUCGUCUAGAGGCCUAGGACCCGGCCCUUUCAAGGCCGUAACGGCGGUUCGAAUCCGCUUGGGGAUGCCA
rnacentral:tRNA from 1 species